CAUUUAAACACAAAAUUGCAGCAAACCAAAGGUGAAAUCCGUAGCUCUUCAUUUCCAAAUUCUCCAAAAUUUCAAAUCUUCAUAUCUUUUUCGUUUCUCAACGAAAUUGAGCGAUUUUUGCGGCCACGGAACGAGAAAGUGAUUAUCUACAACUCUAUGGCAUCAAUUUAAGUGUAAUUGUAAGCUUGUAAUGAAGGUUAUGGAUGAUGAAAUUGGAGCUUUAAACCUACGGCAAUAGAGACAUCAUCAAGACUCGACGAAGCGACUAUCGACAAGGCUCGAAGGGAACGGAUCGAGAUGUCUUCGUGUUUAUUUGAAGAAUUUGGAUAGCAAGUGGGAUGGUAUGAUAUGAUUUGAAGAGUUAAGCUUCCGAAGUUUUAAUUCUCGGAAGUCAUUUGCACAAGAAGUAAAAAAAGGAAAAGUGCCAAAGCGGAGAGGUAAACCGUCUAGGAACAGAAGAGAUGAUUUUCCCCGGUGAUUUCUUGCGACUGCAGCUCCCACCCCCAUCCUGGUCGAUAACUGAAAAGCUCCAUUGAAGUUAAUUAAUCUGUUACCAGUAAAGGGGCACCAUUGUUGGUUCUGCCCCUGCUUAGGCCGAGUAGCACUAAUGACCUUGUCUGUCUGAUUCCUGCUACGAGUGGCCAUGUGAAAUUCAGCUUGCACCGGCCUGCUUCAGCACCCUCGGAAAAUCAGUGUCAAUUAAUAUCCCUAAAAGUAAGAGAAUUCAGAGCUAACCAUGUCGCCCAAAGGAUCUAAGCAGAUUUAUCAGAUUUUAGUUUUUUUUCUUCCAUCAUUCACCAUUAUCAAUGAAAGAGAUUAUCUUAUUAAUUGAUUUAUAAAAG